UACGUAGGGUGCAGGCGUUAAUCGGAAUUACUGGGCGUAAAGCGUGCGUAGGCGGUUUGUUAAGACAGGUGUGAAAUCCCCGGGCUUAACCUGGGAACUGCGCUUGUUACUGGCAGACUGGAGUGUGGCAGAGGGGGGUGGAAUUCCAGGUGUAGCAGUGAAAUGCGUAGAUAUCUGGAGGAACGCCGAUGGCGAAGGCAGCCCCCUGGGCUAACACUGACGCUGAUGCACGAAAGCGUGGGGAGCAAACAGG
rnacentral:rRNA from 1 species